rnacentral:rRNA from 1 species
UACGUAGGGGGCAAGCGUUGUCCGGAAUUAUUGGGCGUAAAGAGCGCGUAGGCGGUCCGAUAAGUCGGCUGUGAAAGUCAGGGGCUCAACCCUUGAAAGCCGGCCGAUACUGUCGGACUAGAGUCCGGAAGAGGCAAGUGGAAUUCCCGGUGUAGCGGUGAAAUGCGCAGAUAUCAGGAAGAACACCCGUGGCGAAAGCGGCUCUCUGGAACGGUACUGACGCUGAGACGCGAAAGCGUGGGGAGCGAACAGG